AGUAGCCUUCAUUUGGGAGAUGGAGUGUUCUGUAGCUAGAAAUCCUAUUGCUAGCUGGGUACAGACUGCUUCAUAUAUUCUGUGGCCACUGUGAAAACUCUGUGGAGAAAUGAAUGCUGUACUCACUACAAGCUAAUAAGCACUAUAUCUCCUGUGUAGGACUGAUUCCACCUGAAGGACGUACCAGCUAUUAUGUCAAUAAAUGCGCCACAUAGAUGGAUCCUUCUAAACUAAUGGCAAAUCUUUCAUUUGGUUAAAAAUUGUCUUGAAAUCUGUGCAACUAUUAGCAUUCCUGUGGAUCUCAUAUCACAGCUCUCUUCAGUAAUCUUAGAGCCACUAAGAGCAGCAGUGCUGCCAUAGUAUAUGAUUGAUGUUGGGUAAUUAAAGUUUUAUCAGACUAGUAACCAAGUUUGGUAGGCUGCAAAAGUUAUUAAUGUUGAUUCAGGGACCUAUUAGCAUAUGGUUGAAUCUGUCUGUAGCAGCAUUGGCAUAGUAGUUAUUAAUAGCUUGGACUUAUUUGAUGGCUGUGCAUGGCUUGGGAGUCCUCUAUUGACAGAAUUGUUGCUGUUUAUAAAAUGACAGCUUAAAAUAAAGCAGUAGCAUUCUUAUUUUUAAUGAUGAGUAAAUCUUGCUGCCCGCUGCUGCCUCUGACAGUGUAAGAUAAGCCUGAAGGUGCAUGUUACAAAAGACUUGAGUUCUUUACAUGAAGGUGCUUGUCACCUAAACCUCUGAUUAUACUGGAACACCUCAGCUUCCAAAAGCGUAACUAGCAAGAAGGAAAAACAGUAAUUGCUUUGUAGAGAAGUAUAAAACACUAAGCUAAUAUUAAUUUAGUAUGAAGCUGAAAAAUGUUCAAUCCAUUGAUCCAGUACAGAAGUGCAGUCAUAAGUGACAAAACAAUAAAAAUUUUGUAAGUAGACAGGCAGUACAUGUAUAUAUGCAUUCACACACACGUAUGAAACAGGUAUCAGGAGAAUUGCAAUCCCCAUCCAUGUUGCCAGAUAUUCUGCUAAUACUAUAAGCCUUAAAAUCUUUCCUUCUAUUCCUAACUAUUUUACUUGACAGAAUUUUUUUCUGAUCUGUGUUAAAAGCAAUCAUGAUACUACCAGUAGAUCUUGUUGUGUUUUUAGUUUUGCUUUAAAAUUUAAAUAAUCCCUGGUUUUGCAUUAGCCUGCAAUUGUAUACUUUCUAUACAUAUACAAGUUGAGCUGGAUUACUUACUCACAUAUCUUGGGCCAGAAACAAGAAAAAAUAAAAGAAAAACCAAUGUUGUAUCUCAUAGUGAUUUGUUAGUCAAGAUUUUUAGAAUGUCUGGCAAUUUUUUAAAAUGAAAAAUAUUUGCUGGUAUAGAAUUUUGUCAUCACGUUACCAGAAUUAAUUUAGACCUCACAGGACUGUCUGUGUUGUCAUACAUUCUCUCAUUUCUCUUGGCCACAAUUUAGAAAUUUUGUUCAUAGUGAUUACAGUUACAGAUGAGCAAACAAAGGCACACUUUUUAAUGAGUGUUUAUUUUCAUUUGUUUUGUUCUUUAUGUCCUUGCUUACUUCUAGAUUGUAUGUGCUCAUUCCAGUCUAUAGUAGUGGGAGUUCAGUACAUUUCACCAAUUUUGAUACUCUAUCCUUUGACUUAACCUUCAUAUUAAUAUGCAAACCCUAUAACUAAAUGUAUCUGAAGCUUUCAGCAUGUGAUCGUAUUUCAGCAUUUGUCUUUGGAGACGUUAAUAGGGUUAUUAAGCAACAAAAUGAUAAUCAGCAGUUUUAGAGGUCACUCAUUAUACACAGUAUAAAUAUUUCAUAAAUUCCCCACUGUUUACAGAUAGAAUAGUCUGAAAAGAAAUUCUAAAUGUUCACUACCUAAUGUAGCCAAUCUAGUUUGUUAAUGCUUGUUUUUUAAAAAGCUAUCUAUAUGUUUAUGUAAAUUAUAACCUCUACACAGCAUAUUUUCUCAGCAUGGUCCAGCAGAGUGUGUCAUAAUAGAAGCUCUAAGGAUCGCUGCUUUCAAAUUAGUCUACUCUGAUGGAAAAAAGUUAUUUUCAACUAAAAUUAAAACAUGUCAAAAGCCAACUAUUCCAAAAUUAG
ensembl:lncRNA